GAAAGUUGAAAAGCACUCUGAAUAGAGAGUCAAAUAGUACGUGAAACUGCCUAGGGGUACAAACCCGUUGAACUCAAUGAUCCGGGCGGCGAUAUUCAGCGGUAAACUAGCAUUUGCCGUGCACUUAUCGAUCCGCAGUAACGGACAUCGCGAUCCAUUACAACAGCGGUUGGCCUCGUGCUAACGCUCCGGCAUACACUGCCCCUAGCUCGUGGUGGACGGUCCCUCUGUAAGGGUAGGGUAGCUGCUCUACACUGACCGGGGAUCUCCGCGCAGUCCUUCUGGAAGGCGAAAUGGGUCCGACCGAGCUCUGGUGUGCUGCUGGAAGGGUGAUGGAUUCUAACGAGAGGGGUAGUACCGCUGUCUUCUCCGAAAGGCGCGCGAAUCCUUCGUUCGGCGAUGAUGCAUCAUGCAUUGAGGCACCUCCGGGACCCGUCUUGAAACACGG
rnacentral:rRNA from 1 species